rnacentral:rRNA from 1 species
AGCUCCAAUAGCGUAUACUAAAGUUGUUGCAGUUAAAAAGCUCGUAGUUGAAUUUCUGGUCGUGGUAAUCGGUCAGCUCCUCACGGAGUUCGUACCAGGUUACCGCGUCCAUCCUCGGGGAGAGCAUAUCGGGCAUUAAGUUGUCUGGUGUGGGAUCCUCGUCAUUUACUGUGAGCAAAAUAGAGUGUUCAAAGCAGGCUUAGGCCGUUGAAUACAUUAGCAUGGAAUAAUAAGAUAGGACCUCGGUCUAUUUUGUUGGUUUACAUUCCGAGGUAAUGAUUAAUAGGGAUAGUUGGGGGUAUUCGUAUUCAAUUGUCAGAGGUGAAAUUCUUGGAUUUAUGGAAGACGAACAACUGCGAAAGCAUUUACCAAGGAUGUUUUCAUUA